rnacentral:rRNA from 1 species
GCAUAACGCGAAGAACCUUACCAGGCCUUGACAUCCCUGGAACCCCCGAGAGAUCCGGGGGGUGCCCUUCGGGGAACCAGGAGACAGGUGCUGCAUGGCUGUCGUCAGCUCGUGUCGUGAGAUGUUCGGUUAAGUCCGGCAACGAGCGCAACCCUCGCCAUUAGUUGCCAUCAGUUCGGCUGGGCACUCUAAUGGGACUGCCCGUGAAAGCGGGAGGAAGGCGGGGAUGAUGUCUAGUCAGCAUGGUCCUUACGGCCUGGGCGACACACGUGCUACAAUGGCCGGUACAACGCGUCGCCACCUCGCGAGAGGGAGCUAAUCGCUAAAGCCGGUCCCAGUUCAGAUCGCAGUCUGCAACUCGACUGCGUGAAGUCGGAAUCGCUAGUAAUCGCGGAUCAGCCAUGCCGCGGUGAAUACGUUCCCGGGUCUUGUACACACCG